ACAGGGAAGUCUGGUGUGCUGCAGUCCAUGGAGUCACAGAGUCAGACACGACUGAGCAACUGAACUGUACCAUAUCUAUACAGAUAUAACAUAAAGAAGGCUUAAUGUUACUUACUUAACUAUGUAAUUUAACAUUUCAUGUAAGCCUGAAUUAGUAUAACACCUCCCUUUUUAUGAGGUGAGAGAAUAAAUUAUAGGAGCAUUUUCAGGGGCCCCCUGAGAAAUCUGAAAUUUAACUAGAGAUUAAAAGGACUUUAUAUAGCAUUUGAUUUGGGGAAGCUGUCUGAUUAACAAAAGUUUUUACACUUGACUAAAUAGAACCACAGAUCAUUGUGAAACAAUAUUUAAAUUAUCUAUUUGGCCAAAGUAAUAAUAAAAUACCCUUUUAUCAGAUGAAAGGAAAUCAAGCUUAGUUUUAUGUAACUAUACUACUAAUAUUGAGCAUAUUUUUAAAAACCUUUAUAGUUCAGUUUUAGCCAAUUUGUUUAUACAAGGGAAGAUUCUCCCUUACUCUCUUCUGAAAUAAUCAGAAGUUCUAAUUUAGACAAAAUUGCUCUCAUUUCCUUCAACAAAGAUGCAUCUUUAUUCCUCAGACUUCUCCUUAAACCAAAAUACACCAUAGUGUCCUUACAUACAGAGCUGAACUCUUCUAGUUGUCUUAAUUACAUGCAUUAAUUAUAAUUUUUAACCCUUGGAAACUUUAAUUUUUAGAAUCAUGUGCUUCUUUUUCUUUAGAUUUUCUGUAGUAGGAAGCCAAAAGUAGUUGAACAUGCAUUUUGUAAUUAAAAUAUCAGUAUUUUACUCCAUUUGGAAAUAAUCCAGAUAUUCAGUAAACCUCUAUUCUUUAACCUAUAAAAUCCUUAAAGUUUCUAGUUACCAAAGAGAUUUGGGAAAAUAUUUUAAGGACACCUAAAAUAUAAUUACUGCUUAAGAGUUCACCUAAAAGCUUUUAAUCUUACAUCUAUUACUUGCUCCCAACAGUCAUACUUCGAUUACUUUCCUGUUGACAAAAUUUUAACAGAGACAACAUGAACCUACCUGAUCAGUUACUCCAGAGGCUAGUGAUGGAAAUCAGAAUUCUCUUCAGCUGUCUUGCUUAACUAACCAAAAUGUGGAUUACAUUUUGGAAGAAGUUAUGAGGAAGGAGACCCAUUUCAUUUGUCUUGAGAAGUUUAGAAAAUCAAUUUGAGAAGACUGGUGGAAUCAGACAUAUGGGAUCUUAGCUUCCUGUUCAGGACUCAAACCUGCAGCACCUGCAUUGGAAGGUGAAGUCUUAACACUGGACUGCCAGGGGAGUUCCAGGUGUUUCUUAUUCAGCCCCAUCCUGCAGAAUGCACCACCUGGAAUAAACAACUACAGAACCACCUAGGACAGCACACUUAGGAAAAGAAAUUAAAUAUCCUGGUAAUAUGUCUAAUAAAUAUUAAUUUAUCAUUGUUGUAAAUUUGUAAAAUUGCAGCUAAAGCUGCAAUAGAAAAAUCAGAAUAGCUGGACUUGUGACCAGAGGAAAAGAAAGAAAGGGGCAUUUAAGUA